rnacentral:rRNA from 1 species
GAUGAACGCUGGCGGCGUGCCUAAUACAUGCAAGUCGAGCGAACAGACGAGGAGCUUGCUCCUCUGACGUUAGCGGCGGACGGGUGAGUAACACGUGGAUAACCUACCUAUAAGACUGGGUUAACUUCGGGAAACCGGAGCUAAUACCGGAUAAUAUAUUGAACCGCAUGGUUCAAUAGUGAAAGACGGUUUUGCUGUCACUUAUAGAUGGAUCCGCGCCGCAUUAGCUAGUUGGUAAGGUAACGGCUUACCAAGGCAACGAUGCGUAGCCGACCUGAGAGGGUGAUCGGCCACACUGGAACUGAGACACGGUCCAGACUCCUACGGGAGGCAGCAGUAGGGAAUCUUCCGCAAUGGGCGAAAGCUUGACGGAGCAACGCCGCGUGAGUGAUGAAGGUCUUCGGAUCGUAAAACUCUGUUAUUAGGGAAGAACAAAUGUGUAAGUAACUAUGCACGUCUUGACGGUACCUAAUCAGAAAGCCACGGCUAACUACGUG